GAGUAUCCAUACUUCUAUUCUAAUAAACUGUGUCUUUUGUAGUUUGAUGGUAUCCAUGUGGUGAGUGGAUCUCUUGAUACAUCAAUCCGUGUUUGGGAUGUGGAGACAGGGAAUUGCAUUCACACGUUAACAGGGCACCAGUCGUUAACAAGUGGAAUGGAACUCAAAGACAAUAUUCUUGUCUCUGGGAAUGCAGAUUCUACAGUUAAAAUCUGGGAUAUCAAAACAGGACAGUGUUUACAAACAUUGCAAGGUCCCAACAAGCAUCAGAGUGCUGUGACCUGUUUACAGUUCAACAAGAACUUUGUAAUUACCAGCUCAGAUGAUGGAACUGUAAAACUAUGGGACUUGAAAACGGGUGAAUUUAUUCGAAACCUAGUCACAUUGGAGAGUGGGGGGAGUGGGGGAGUUGUGUGGCGGAUCAGAGCCUCAAACACAAAGCUGGUGUGUGCAGUUGGGAGUCGGAAUGGGACUGAAGAAACCAAGCUGCUGGUGCUGGACUUUGAUGUGGACAUGAAGUGAAGAGCA
rnacentral:sRNA from 2 species